rnacentral:rRNA from 1 species
UGGGCGGCGUGCCUAAUACAUGCAAGUCGAGCGGACAGAUGGGAGCUUGCUCCCUGAUGUUAGCGGCGGACGGGUGAGUAACACGUGGGUAACCUGCCUGUAAGACUGGGAUAACUCCGGGAAACCGGGGCUAAUACCGGAUGGUUGUUUGAACCGCAUGGUUCAAACAUAAAAGGUGGCUUCGGCUACCACUUACAGAUGGACCCGCGGCGCAUUAGCUAGUUGGUGAGGUAACGGCUCACCAAGGCAACGAUGCGUAGCCGACCUGAGAGGGUGAUCGGCCACACUGGGACUGAGACACGGCCCAGACUCCUACGGGAGGCAGCAGUAGGGAAUCUUCCGCAAUGGACGAAAGUCUGACGGAGCAACGCCGCGUGAGUGAUGAAGGUUUUCGGAUCGUAAAGCUCUGUUGUUAGGGAAGAACAAGUACCGUUCGAAUAGGGCGGUACCUUGACGGUACCUAACCAGAAAGCCACGGCUAACUACGUGCCAGCAGCCGCGGUAAUACGUAGGUGGCAAGCGUUGUCCGGAAUUAUUGGGCGUAAAGGGCUCGCAGGCGGUUUCUUAAGUCUGAUGUGAAAGCCCCCGGCUCAACCGGGGAGGGUCAUUGGAAACUGGGGAACUUGAGUGCAGAAGAGGAGAGUGGAAUUCCACGUGUAGCGGUGAAAUGCGUAGAGAUGUGGAGGAACACCAGUGGCGAAAGCGACUCUCUGGUCUGUAACUGACGCUGAGGAGCGAAGCGUGUGGAGCGAAAGCGUGGGGAGCGAACAGGAUUAGAUACCCUGGUAGUCCACGCCGUAAACGAUGAGUGCUAAGUGUUAGGGGGUUUCCGCCCCUUAGUGCUGCAGCUAACGCAUUAAGCACUCCG